AGUGGAGUAGUGAAAACGCAACAUCUUCACCGGUGGAGCAAUGGCACGGGAGUUGCUAGGUCUGUUGAUACUGUUCAGUGUGCUGUUGCUGUACGUGACCGCUCAAUCGCUCGGUCCGAAUCGUUUAACGUGCGGCAAGCGAAGAGUCAAGACGAUCCAUCUCGUUCAUAAUGGAAUCGACGCAAAGCCGGGUCACUGGCCGUGGCAUGCGGCAAUCUUUCACCGCAAGGGCGAUCAGUUGGAUUACGCGUGUGGAGGAUCCAUCAUUGACGAGAACACCAUUCUCACGGCGGCUCAUUGCGUUUUCCUUGUGAAUGGGCUACUGCCCGUGAGCCAGAUUUCGGUACACCUGGGUCGGGUUCAUCUGAAGGAGGUGAGCGAGUUCGUGCAGGAGCACACGGUGCAGGAAUUGAUAGUGCAUCCCGGAUACAAUUCGAGUAGAUUCGUGAACGAUAUCGCACUGAUCAAGCUGGCGGGGAGCAUCACGAUGAGCGAGUUCGUGCAGCCCGUUUGUCUGUGGACGAUGGAUAAAAACCAGGAGCUGAUUGUGGGCAAAACCGGUACCCUGGUGGGCUUUGGUCUGAAUGAGCAGGACGUCGUGUCGGAGCAGCUGAAGCAAGCGUCGAUCGGUGUGGUGGACGCGCUGACGUGCAUCAAGAGUGAUCGUUUGUCGUUCGCCAAUCAGCUUACGGCGGAGAUGUUCUGUGGCGGCGGCCAGUCGAACGUGAGUGCUUGUAAUGGGGACAGUGGUGGGGGUUUGUUCUUCAAUGUAGAGGGCAAAUGGUUUGUGCGGGGCGUGGUAUCGUUCAUUCCGGUCCGCCAGCGGACGGGACUGUGCGAUCCGUCCAAGUACACGGCCUAUGCCGAUGUGGCCAAGUAUUUGGGAUGGAUCGAUCAAUACAUCGAUCGGCGCGUGCUCGUGUUCGAUACCGACGAGCUGGAGGUGGAUUACGAGGAGAAGCUUCCACUGUUCAAUCUGAACACUUGUGGUACGAAGAACGAGACGGUGCUGGCCUCUGGACAACCGGCUCCCCUGCCUUGGCUUGGGUUUGUUCUGACGAAGGAGAAUAAGGUCAAAUGUGUUGUUACACUCAUCAGCGAAUGGUACGUGGUGGGUACGGCAAGCUGUUUUGAAAAGAAUGAGAAAGAUUUACGGAUAUUGUUUGGCGGUUUUGACGAUUUGCAUGAGCAAAAGUGCUUCGAGCGUAAUGGCACAACGAUAUGCGCGUAUCCAACGCAAUCUCGCUCGAUCGGAAGAGUAGUGGCCCAUCCCAGGUUUAGCAAAAACACGAUCAACGACAAUAUAGCACUGAUUGAGCUGCAAAGUCCCGCCGACACGACGCAACCUCACGUGAAGCCCAUCUGUUUACCUGUAACGCCAACGCUUUACACCAAUAGAACGGAGAACUUUUCCGUCCUGGCGUUCAGGUUGACCACCGGGACAAUCGUUGAUCAGUCGGUGAACCAUGUAGAUCCGGACUUUUGUAAAUCCGUACACAUCGUUGCUGGAUUUGCGAUCGAUAAUGAGGAGAAGAGCUUCUGUGUGUCAGUUCCCGAGGAGGAUGUUACAAACUGCGACAGUUUGCUCGGGCAGGGUACUCCACUACAGGAGCAUAUGAGUAUGGUCAAUGCUGGCGAGCGUUACGUACUGCGUGGAUUCGACCUGCUCGGGCUUACUUGCGCCGGAGACAGCUCCAUACCGGUUUUGUACGUGAAUGUGUACUCCUACCUCGACUGGAUGUUGUACAACAUGCGAUACAACGAAGCGGUAAACGAGGACGAGCAGGAACUGAUCGCAAAUGCAACGCUCGCAAAGUGGAAAGAGCGUCAGCAGGCUGUCGGUAGUGAAAAGCUAAAGCUCUUCAACAUGGAAUCCUGUGGCCAGAAUGUGGUCGAACCGAGGGGUACCGGUUCGAUCACACUCAUUCCGUGGAUCGGAACGCUGAAAACCGUGGAAAAUCCCGUCAAGCAAAACACGGUGCCAGAUGGUUUGGUUGUUUUGAUCAACGAACGUUACGCGCUGACGUCGGCAAACGUGUUUCGUCCUGAUGUACAAUGGCGAUCGAUUGUGCUAGGGUUCAAUCACUACAAUCCAGUUCUGGAGAUUGCAUGCACAUUUGGAGUGUGCGAUCGUCCGUACCAGGCGGUGGAGAUCAAGCAGAUCACCAUCCAUCCACAGUAUAAUGGCACAUAUAACAUCCACAACAUCGCACUGAUCGAGCUGGUAGAACCGGCCAACGUUACCAAGCGUUACAUCAGCCCGAUCUGUAUGCCACUGAUAGAGGAGUUUCGAAACAGUACGCCCUUCGAACUGGUAGUGCCAUCGUACAUUUACCACGAGCAAAGCACCCAGCUUGAGCCACUGGAUCCGCUCAACUGUCAGGAACGAUUUGCGCAACAGAACGCCGCCAUUACCUUGAACAAUCGGUCACGUUGUGCUGUUGCGCUGGACAAAGACGCAAAGGAGCCGGCGGCGUUAAAGGCAGGCGCUCCGCUACAAACGUUACUGCGGGUUGGAAGCGAGAAGCGCUAUUUUCUAAGCGGAAUGAACAGUUUUACGGAUCUCGUUAACUACCACAAUCCAGGCUAUCCGUAUCUGUUUACCGAUACCAAUGCGUACGUGGACUGGAUGCUGGAAAACAUGCAGCUUGAUAGCACUGUAUCCCCGGAUUCCUAUGUGGAGCAGGUGGAUCCUCCUGCGACUCGAAACACUUCCAGAAGAAGGCUGUUCAAUUUUAAAACUUGCGGGGCUCAUACCAAGGGAUCCAGCGCGAACGCAACGUACGAGACGGAGCCGUGGCAUGGAUUUGUGUACGAAUGGAUUGAGGCGUAUAAUUCGACCCUUUUUACCAGAUGUACCGUUGUGCUGGUGAGUGAAUGGUACGCGAUUGGUGUUGCGAGCUGCCUGAAACAAGAUGCCAAGCUUUGGGUGCAGUUCGGUGGCUACGUUGAGUCAGAUUCAGGCGAUAAUUGUUGGGACGCUGAUGGUACGACGUUAUGCCGGCCUAAGACGCACCGGAUUGCAGUGGAGAGGAUCAUCGUUCAUCCACAAUACAACAGAACCGGAUACACGGACGACAUAGCGCUGGUUCAGCUAGCAACUCCAGCAGACGUAUCGCAACCUCACGUGCAACCGAUCUGCCUGCCGAUUCUUGACGAAGUUCGCAGUUACGCUGUGUCCAGCAUGGCGACGGUCACUUUUGGCUUAGCGCAUGGUUCGUUCAUCACGAGCAAGGUGGAUCGCACCCGGUUUGUCCCGCCUGCCGAAUGUCAACGGCGCUGGAAUGGAAUGGCGUUACGUUUACAGAUCGAGCGCACGAAACAAUGCAACCUGAUGGUCCGAGAUUCACAAAACGAAUGCUACCCUGUUAUGCCGGGCUUUCCAUUGCACACGACACAAGAAUUGCUCGGAGAGCAGCGUCACUUUUUACGAGGGUUAUUCUCGCUGCGACCAGAGCUGUGUAGCAGUUACUAUCCUGCUAUCUAUACCGAUGUGGAUGUGUAUCUGGACUGGAUACUGGAUAGCAUGGAUGAGCGACUAGGGACCUCCAAACUGCCUUAUAACUUGACAGAACACUUAAUUUUCAUUCAAAAGUAGCAGAGAAGUAUCGCCCAGCACGCUUCAUUCCCAGCACAGAGCAUGACAAGGUGGCUUUUGCCUGCCGAUAAGGAUUAGAUGUCAAACCAUUUUCGAUGAAAUAUUGUACGGCCCCCGUCCCGGGUUCAGUUGGCCAUUGGAUCAGCUUUGUCCACUCGAUUGCCUCCGAAUAGCUGUUGAAGGAAGCCAACAAACCGUAAGCGGACGAUGCACAAAAGGUUCUGCAACAACUGCAACGACAGCGUGCCAUCGAAGCGGAAGGAAGCCCAUUUGCUCUCGGAAUAGCCUCAAUGACAUUCCGGACGGUAGCGAGCGGGCAAAGAUUGCAGUCGAUACGGAGAGAAAGCAAGCAUGGCAGAAUGGGACCACUUCCACUACAAGUCAGCUGCCGGCUAAAAACUGUCCAGACUGCACCGACACCACAAGUGCGCCGAUAGAUAAUACCCGGUCGAUAAGGUGCCGGUGCCAAAGUUGCCACUUCCUGUCACUGCCAGUGCCGCCACAGGUUCGAGCAAACUGCAAGAGAGUGAGCUUUUCCUGUCGAUCGGGGGGUGGAGCGAUUAUGGACACGGUUGAAGCGUAAAUAAAGUGGCCUGAUGGCUUCCCGGUCAGUCGUUUGGUCACCGGAAGUCGUUUCUGCCACUCGAUCGAUUUCCCCAUGCAAUGGUGGUAAACGAUUGCACCGAUGCUUUGUGUUUUCGUUUCCUUCCCGUCCUGUGCCAAUGCCGAGGAGCCUUGGCUGAACAAACACACGAGUCCGAGCAGAAGCGUUCUUGGUAGCGUGUCUCGCAAUAGCUGGGAAGGAGCGGAAAGGCCGUUCAUGUUCGCUCCGUACGAUGCACUUGAUUGCAAAAACGGGUACUGAAACAUUGUAGUGCAAAGUAAGGCUAUGUAGUAAGGGAAAGAUAGAGAAAAAAAACACUUUCUAGCUGGUUCUCUACAACUAUAGAUGUGAUUGUAGCUGAAGGAGAUUACAGAAUAAUGUGAUAGGUGAUAAUAUAUGACAUUAAGCUUCGAUCCUUCUGUGUGGCUUGAGGUAUGAAAGCAUUUUGAUAUCGUAAAAAAGUAGUUUUUGGAAAUUUAGAAAUGUUUUACAAUAGGAUGAGCACUACGUU